rnacentral:rRNA from 1 species
GGGUUGUGAGGUUAAGUGACUAAGCGUACACGGUGGAUGCCUAGGCAGUCAGAGGCGAUGAAGGACGUGCUAAUCUGCGAUAAGCGUCGGUGAGCUGAUAUGAAGCAUUAUUAGCCGGCGAUGUCCGAAUGGGGAAACCCAGUGCGAUCCGUUGCACUAUCGUUAAGUGAAUACAUAGCUUAACGAGGCGAACCAGGGGAACUGAAACAUCUAAGUACCCUGAGGAAAAGAAAUCAACCGAGAUUCCCCCAGUAGCGGCGAGCGAACGGGGAAGAGCCCAGAACCUGAAUCAGUUUGUGCAUUAGUGGAAGCGUCUGGAAAGUCGCGCGAUACCGGGUGAUAGCCCCGUACACGAAGGUGCACAGCUGUGAGUUCGAUGAGUAGGGCGGGACACGUGUUAUCCUGUCUGAAUAUGGGGGACCAUCCUCCAAGGCUAAAUACUCCUGACUGACCGAUAGUGAACCAGUACCGUGAGGGAAAGGCGAAAAGAACCCCGGCGAGGGGAGUGAAAUAGAACCUGAAACCGUGUACGUACAAGCAGUGGGAGCAUCCUUCGGGGUGUGACUGCGUACCUUUUGUAUAAUGGGUCAGCGACUUAUAUUUUGUAGCAAGGUUAACCGAAUAGGGGAGCCGUAGGGAAACCGAGUCUUAACUGGGCGUCUAGUUGCAAGGUAUAGACCCGAAACCCGGUGAUCUAGCCAUGGGCAGGUUGAAGGUUGGGUAACACUAACUGGAGGACCGAACCGACUAAUGUUGAAAAAUUAGCGGAUGACUUGUGGCUGGGGGUGAAAGGCCAAUCAAACCGGGAGAUAGCUGGUUCUCCCCGAAAGCUAUUUAGGUAGCGCCUCGUGAACUCAUCUUCGGGGGUAGAGCACUGUUUCGGCUAGGGGGUCAUCCCGACUUACCAACCCGAUGCAAACUACGAAUACCGAAGAAUGUUAUCACGGGAGACACACGGCGGGUGCUAACGUCCGUCGUGAAGAGGGAAACAACCCAGACCGCCAGCUAAGGUCCCAAAGUCAUGGUUAAGUGGGAAACGAUGUGGGAAGGCAUAGACAGCCAGGAUGUUGGCUUAGAAGCAGCCAUCAUUUAAAGAAAGCGUAAUAGCUCACUGGUCGAGUCGGCCUGCGCGGAAGAUGUAACGGGGCUAAACCAUGCACCGAAGCUGCGGCAGCGACACUAAGUGUUGUUGGGUAGGGGAGCGUUCUGUAAGCCUGUGAAGGUGGCCUGUGAGGGCUGCUGGAGGUAUCAGAAGUGCGAAUGCUGACAUAAGUAACGAUAAAGCGGGUGAAAAGCCCGCUCGCCGGAAGACCAAGGGUUCCUGUCCAACGUUAAUCGGGGCAGGGUAAGUCGACCCCUAAGGCGAGGCCGAAAGGCGUAGUCGAUGGGAAACAGGUUAAUAUUCCUGUACUUGGUGUUAUUGCGAAGGGGGACGGAGAAGGCUAGACCGGCCGGGCGACGGUUGUCCCGGUUUAAGCGUGUAGGUGUGAUGACCUGGCAAAUCCGGUUAUCUUUAACACUGAGGCGUGAUGACGAGGCACUACGGUGCUGAAGUGGUUAAUGCCCUGCUUCCAGGAAAAGCCUCUAAGCUCUAGAUAACACUGAAUCGUACCCCAAACCGACACAGGUGGUCAGGUAGAGAAUACUAAGGCGCUUGAGAGAACUCGGGUGAAGGAACUAGGCAAAAUGGUGCCGUAACUUCGGGAGAAGGCACGCUGGCAUGUAGGUGAAGUCCCUCGCGGAUGGAGCCGAAGCCAGUCGAAGAUACCAGCUGGCUGCAACUGUUUAAUAAAAACACAGCACUCUGCAAACACGAAAGUGGACGUAUAGGGUGUGACGCCUGCCCGGUGCUGGAAGGUUAAUUGAUGGGGUCAGCCGCAAGGCGAAGCUCUUGAUCGAAGCCCCAGUAAACGGCGGCCGUAACUAUAACGGUCCUAAGGUAGCGAAAUUCCUUGUCGGGUAAGUUCCGACCUGCACGAAUGGCGUAAUGAUGGCCAGGCUGUCUCCACCCGAGACUCAGUGAAAUUGAACUCGCUGUGAAGAUGCAGUGUACCCGCGGCAAGACGGAAAGACCCCGUGAACCUUUACUAUAGCUUGACACUGAACAUUGAACCUUGAUGUGUAGGAUAGGUGGGAGGCUUUGAAGUGUGGACGCCAGUCUGCAUGGAGCCGACCUUGAAAUACCACCCUUUAAUGUUUGAUGUUCUAACCUGGUCCCGUAAUCCGGGAUAGGGACAGUGUCUGGUGGGUAGUUUGACUGGGGCGGUCUCCUCCCAAAGAGUAACGGAGGAGCACGAAGGUUAGCUAAUCCUGGUCGGACAUCAGGAGGUUAGUGCAAAGGCAUAAGCUAGCUUGACUGCGAGAGUGACGGCUCGAGCAGGUGCGAAAGCAGGUCUUAGUGAUCCGGUGGUUCUGAAUGGAAGGGCCAUCGCUCAACGGAUAAAAGGUACUCCGGGGAUAACAGGCUGAUACCGCCCAAGAGUUCAUAUCGACGGCGGUGUUUGGCACCUCGAUGUCGGCUCAUCACAUCCUGGGGCUGAAGUAGGUCCCAAGGGUAUGGCUGUUCGCCAUUUAAAGUGGUACGCGAGCUGGGUUUAGAACGUCGUGAGACAGUUCGGUCCCUAUCUGCCGUGGGCGUUGGAAGAUUGAGAGGGGCUGCUCCUAGUACGAGAGGACCGGAGUGGACGCACCGCUGGUGUUCGGGUUGUGAUGCCAAUUGCAUUGCCCGGUAGCUACGUGCGGAAGAGAUAAGCGCUGAAAGCAUCUAAGCGCGAAACUUGCCUCGAGAUGAGUCUUCCCUUGGACCUUGAGUCCACUGAAGGAACGUUUAAGACUAAGACGUUGAUAGGCUGGGUGUGUAAGCGUAGCGAUACGUUGAGCUAACCAGUACUAAUGAUCCGUGAGGCUUAACCUUACAACACCGAAGGUGUUU